UUGGAGGGCAAGUCUGGUGCCAGCAGCCGCGGUAAUUCCAGCUCCGAUAGCGUAUAUUAAAGUUGUUGCAGUUAAAAAGCUCGUAGUUGAAUUUCGGGAUCAAUUUAUCGGUCGUGCCUCUGGUAUGCACUGGUAUUAUUGAUUUCUACCUUCUGACGAACCAUGAUGUCAUUAAUUUGGUGUCAUGGGGAAUCAGGACUGUUACUUUGAAAAAAUUAGAGUGUUUAAAGCAAGCACACGCUUGAAUACAUUAGCAUGGAAUAAUGAAAUAGGACGUUUGACCCUAUUUUGUUGGUUUCUAGGAUCGACGUAAUGAUUAAUAGGGAUAGUUAGGGGCAUUAGUAUUCAAUUGUCAGAGGUGAAAUUCUUGGAUUUAUUGAAGACUAACUACUGCGAAAGCAUUUGCCAAGGAUGUUUUCAUUAAUCAAGAACGAAAGUUAGGGGAUCGAAGACGAUCAGAUACCGUCGUAGUCUUAACCAUAAACUAUGCCGACUAGGGAUCGGAUGAUGUUAAUUUUUUAAUGACUCAUUCGGCGCCUUACGGGAAAC
rnacentral:rRNA from 1 species